CAAUAGCGUAUAUUUAAGUUGUUGCAGUUAAAAAGCUCGUAGUUGGAUUUCUGCUGAUCGCUGUCGGUCUGCCGUCAGGUGUGUACUGGCAGUGUUUGGCAUCUAUUCGAGAUUGGGUGUCCACUUGCUUGUGUGCACUCGAUGUCGGAGCUAAUACUUUGAGAAAAUUAGAGUGUUCCACGCAGGCGCGUGCCUUGAAUACUGCAGCAUGGGAUAUUGGAAGGCCGAUUGAGCUUUCUUGUUGGUUCUCGGUUUGAUCGGAAUGAUUAAUAGGGAUAGUUGGGGGCAUUCGUAUUCAACUGUCAGAGGUGAAAUUCUUGGAUUUGUUGAAGACGGACUACUGCGAAAGCAUCUGCCAUGGAUGUUCUCAUUGA
rnacentral:rRNA from 1 species